ACACGAACCGUCCGAACGUUAUUCGGAAUCACUGGGCUUAAAGGGUGCGUAGGCGGUGCGGUAAGUUGGGUGUGAAAUCCCUCGGCUCAACCGAGGAACUGCGCCCAAUACUGCCGUACUUGAGGGAGACAGAGGUAAGCGGAACUGAUGGUGGAGCGGUGAAAUGCGUUGAUAUCAUCGGGAACACCGGUGGCGAAAGCGGCUUACUGGGUCUCUUCUGACGCUGAGGCACGAAAGCUAGGGGAGCGAACGGGAUUAGAAACCCUAGUAGUCC
rnacentral:rRNA from 1 species